CAGUCAUUCGGUGUGUAGUUAGCUUGAUAUGCAAAAUCAUCGCGGAAAUUUUACAUCUUAACGAAAUUAUAAGCGAGAAAGGUGGAAUCCAGUGAUACACUUAAUUUUCCUGUCAGAUUAAAAGAAGAACCUACUGAUUGGUGGUUUAGGAAAAAUGAUUGUGGAACUAUUGACGAGAAACCCGGUCUAAAGAACCUCCAACUUUCACCAUUUCCCGCAGAAAAUUCUACACGUACCCUUCAAAAAUGUGACAUUAAACUUGAAAGGAAACUUGACGAUGAAGUGGAAGUAGUUGUUGAAUGUGAAGAUGUCAAGCCCAAUAUUAAUUUAUUAGAAAUUAAAAAAAAUUGACGAUGAUUCUCAAAACAUAAUUAAAGUAGAACCUAUGAGGGAAGUGAAACAAGAACUCAAGGCCGU